rnacentral:siRNA from 1 species
UGUGUAGACAGAGACAUCCUCUGA